AUAUGGGCCACCUGAGGGUCUUGCUAAAAUUCAGAUUCUGAUUCAGGAGGUCUGGGGUGAGGCCCGAGAGUCUGCUUUUCUAACAAGCCCCCAGGUGAUGCUGAU
rnacentral:pre_miRNA from 1 species